rnacentral:rRNA from 1 species
UGGCUCAGGACGAACGCUGGCGGCGUGCCUAAUACAUGCAAGUAGAACGCUGAAGAGAGGAGCUUGCUCUUCUUGGAUGAGUUGCGAACGGGUGAGUAACGCGUAGGUAACCUGCCUUGUAGCGGGGGAUAACUAUUGGAAACGAUAGCUAAUACCGCAUAACAAUGGAUGACACAUGUCAUUUAUUUGAAAGGGGCAAUUGCUCCACUACAAGAUGGACCUGCGUUGUAUUAGCUAGUAGGUGAGGUAAUGGCUCACCUAGGCGACGAUACAUAGCCGACCUGAGAGGGUGAUCGGCCACACUGGGACUGAGACACGGUCCAGACUCCUACGGGAGGCAGCAGUAGGGAAUCUUCGGCAAUGGGGGCAACCCUGACCGAGCAACGCCGCGUGAGUGAAGAAGGUUUUCGGAUCGUAAAGCUCUGUUGUAAGUCAAGAACGGGUGUGAGAGUGGAAAGUUCACACUGUGACGGUAGCUUACCAGAAAGGGACGGCUAACUACGUGCCAGCAGCCGCGGUAAUACGUAGGUCCCGAGCGUUGUCCGGAUUUAUUGGGCGUAAAGCGAGCGCAGGCGGUUUGAUAAGUCUGAAGUUAAAGGCUGUGGCUCAACCAUAGUUCGCUUUGGAAACUGUCAAACUUGAGUGCAGAAGGGGAGAGUGGAAUUCCAUGUGUAGCGGUGAAAUGCGUAGAUAUAUGGAGGAACACCGGUGGCGAAAGCGGCUCUCUGGUCUGUAACUGACGCUGAGGCUCGAAAGCGUGGGGAGCGAACAGGAUUAGAUACCCUGGUAGUCCACGCCGUAAACGAUGAGUGCUAGGUGUUGGAUCCUUUCCGGGAUUCAGUGCCGCAGCUAACGCAUUAAGCACUCCGCCUGGGGAGUACGACCGCAAGGUUGAAACUCAAAGGAAUUGA